CAAGACGCCCAGAAGUACUGUAGC
rnacentral:miRNA from 1 species